GUGUCAGCAGCCGCGGUAAUACGUAGGUGGCAAGCGUUAUCCGGAAUUACUGGGCGUAAAGCGCACGCAGGCGGUCUUUUAAGUUUGACGUGAAAGCUCCCGGCUUAACUGGGAGAGGUCGUUGAAGACUGGAAGACUUGAGGCAAUGAGAGGGGUGUAGAAUUCCCGGUGUAGUGGUGGAAUGCGUAGAUAUCGGGGGGAAUACCAGUGGCGAAAGCGGCACCCUAGCGUUAGCCUGACGCUCAUGUGCGAAAGCGUGGGGAGCGAACGGGAUUAGAUACCCCAGUAGUCC
rnacentral:rRNA from 1 species